rnacentral:rRNA from 1 species
GAUGAACGCUGGCGGCGUGCUUAACACAUGCAAGUCGAACGGUGAACGAGGGAGCUUGCUCCCUCCGGAUCAGUGGCGAACGGGUGAGUAACACGUGAGCAAUCUGCCCUGGACUCUGGGAUAAGCGUUGGAAACGACGUCUAAUACCGGAUACGAGGCGUGGGGGCAUCCCCAACGCCUGGAAAGAACUUCGGUCCAGGAUGAGCUCGCGGCCUAUCAGGUAGUUGGUGAGGUAAUGGCUCACCAAGCCUACGACGGGUAGCCGGCCUGAGAGGGUGACCGGCCGCACUGGGACUGAGACACGGACCAGACUCCUACGGGAGGCAGCAGUGGGGAAUAUUGCACAAUGGGCGAAAGCCUGAUGCAGCAACGCCGCGUGAGGGACGACGGCCUUCGGGUUGUAAACCUCUUUUAGCAGGGAAGAAGCGAAAGUGACGGUACCUGCAGAAAAAGCACCGGCUAACUACGUGCCAGCCGCCGCGGUAAAAC